rnacentral:rRNA from 1 species
GCCGCGUGAGUGAGGAAGGUUUUCGGAUUGUAAAGCUCUGUCGAGCGGAAAGAAGUGCAUGGUGGUUAAUAUCCAUCAUGCUUGACGGUACCGCUAAAGGAAGCACCGGCUAACUCCGUGCCAGCAGCCGCGGUAAUACGGGGGGUGCAAGCGUUGUUCGGAAUCAUUGGGCGUAAAGCGCGUGUAGGCGGCUGGACAAGUCAGAUGUGAAAGCCCUGGGCUUAACCCAGGAAGUGCAUUUGAAACUGUUCAGCUAGAGUAAGGGAGAGGAAAGUGGAAUUCCUGGUGUAGAGGUGAAAUUCGUAGAUAUCAGGAGGAACACCGGUGGCGAAGGCGACUUUCUGGCCCUAUACUGACGCUGAGACGCGAAAGCGUGGGUAGCAAACAGGAUUAGAUACCCUGGUAGUCCACGCUGUAAACGAUGUUCACUAGGUGUUGGGGGUAUUGACCCUUCCAGUGCCGCAGCUAACGCAUUAAGUGAACCGCCUGGGGAGUACGGUCGCAAGAUUAAAACUCAAAGGAAUU